rnacentral:rRNA from 1 species
UACGUAGGGUGCGAGCGUUAAUCGGAAUUACUGGGCGUAAAGCGCGCGCAGGCGGUCCUUUAAGUCUGAUGUGAAAGCCCACGGCUCAACCGUGGAGGGUCAUUGGAAACUGGGGGACUUGAGUGCAGGAGAGAAGAGUGGAAUUCCACGUGUAGCGGUGAAAUGCGUAGAGAUGUGGAGGAACACCAGUGGCGAAGGCGACUCUUUGGGCCUGUCCUGACGCUCAGGCGCGAAAGCUAGGGGAGCGAACAGG